CCCCUAGACGUUCUGGGCUGCACGCGCGCUACAAUAAUACGCACAGCGAGUAUCACCGAGCUCGAAAGGGCAAGGUAAACAAUAGAAAAGGUACUGUAAUGGUUAUAGAUCCUUGUAAUUAUUGAUCUUCAACGAGGAAUUCCUAGUAAGUAUGUGUCAUCAUCACGCACUGAUUACGUCCCUGCCCUUUGUACACACCGCCCGUCGCUCCUACCGAUUGGGUGAGCCGAUGAAACUCUCGGAUGUAGGCUAUUCAUAGCCCGCAGAGGAGAUUUGAAUCGUAGCGCUUAGAGGAAGGAGAAGUCGUAACA
rnacentral:rRNA from 1 species